UAGGUGAUUGGCAUGGGUGCUGACAUAGAGUCUUAGUAGUGAUAAGUCAGUAUGAGCAUUUUGCCAUAAAUUUUUCUGAUUUUCUUUAUUGUGGAACAAUACUCCUGACUACUUUCUUUCUUAUAGUAAUGACCCUAUCUUAUAAAUCCAGAGCUUAGAGUAAGGAGUAACCUCAGAUACUAUUGCUUUCAUAGGAUUUAUACCAUGAAGCAGAGAAUCCCUGAAACAAACAAGACAGACACACACUACAGCUGACAUGCAGUGCUGUCAAGAGCACCUGUACACAGCCAAUGGUUGACUCAGCAAUGGUCAGAGCCAAAAGAUCUUCUUCCAGAGACUUGAAGAUAUUAUGGAAGAACUUCACAGUGGAGAGCCCGGACUGGUACUUGGAAUAAACAGAUAUCAAAGCCUAACAGCUGAAUUUCUUCAAGCAGUGGCCCCUGGGCUUCCCUAAUAUAGGAUCCUAAUGGCUCAUCCUACUUCCUUCAAGGUACCUCUACCGGGAGAGAUAGUGACAAGUACAUCACAAAGGAGAGAGAUAGCCUAUGGAAAUCAGAAGAUUGUGGUGGAGCAGGAGGACCCUAGGCUUGCCUCGCCCUGCUGAUACAACCAGAUAACUAUCAAAUCAUCCUAAAUACCCCAGAAAUAGACCUGAAGAUUGGCAGAACAAACUUCACAGCUA
rnacentral:lncRNA from 1 species